CCUACGGGUGGCUGCAGUGGGGAAUAUUGGGCAAUGGGCGCAAGCCUGACCCAGCAACGCCGCGUGAAGGAAGAAGGCUUUCGGGUUGUAAACUUCUUUUGACAGGGAAGAGUAGUAGACGGUACCUGUCGAAUAAACCACGGCUAACUACGUGCCAGCAGCCGCGUGAAUACGGAGGUGCCAGGCGUUGUCCGGAUUUACUGGGUGUAAAGGGAGGGUUGGGGGGAGAGCAAGUCAGAUGUGAAAUCUCAGGGCGACACCCCGCGCCUGCAUUUGAAACUGUGUUUCUUGAGUGCUGGAGAGGCAAGCGGAAUUCCUGGUGUAGCGGUGAAAUGCGUAGAUAUCCCGAGGAACACCAGUGGCGAAGGCGGAUUGCUGGACCGUAACUGACGCUGAGGCACGAAAGCGUGGGGAGCAAACAGGAUUAGAUACCCCAGUAGUC
rnacentral:rRNA from 1 species